rnacentral:rRNA from 1 species
AUUGAACGCUAGCUACAGGCUUAACACAUGCAAGUCGAGGGGUAACGAGAGGAAAGCUUGCUUUCCUUGUCGACGACCGGCGCACGGGUGAGUAACGCGUAUCCAACCUGCCCCCAACUAGGGAAUAACCUUGCGAAAGUAAGACUAAUACCCUAUAAUUUCCUCAGAUGUCAUCUGACGAGGAAUAAAGAUUUAUCGGUUGUGGAUGGGGAUGCGUCUGAUUAGCUUGUUGGCGGGGUAACGGCCCACCAAGGCAACGAUCAGUAGGGGUUCUGAGAGGAAGGUCCCCCACAUUGGAACUGAGACACGGUCCAAACUCCUACGGGAGGCAGCAGUGAGGAAUAUUGGUCAAUGGGCGGAAGCCUGAACCAGCCAAGUAGCGUGCAGGAUGACGGCCCUAUGGGUUGUAAACUGCUUUUAUACAGGAAUAAAGUUAGCCACGUGUGGUUAUUUGUAGGUACUGUAUGAAUAAGGACCGGCUAAUUCCGUGCCAGCAGCCGCGGUAA